rnacentral:rRNA from 1 species
UACGUAGGAAGCGAGCGUUGUCCGGAAUCAUUGGGCGUAAAGCGCGUGUAGGCGGCUCGGAAAGUCUGGUGUGAAAUCUUUCGGCUCAACCGGAAGCGUGCACUGGAUACUAUCGGGCUUGAAUCUGGAAGAGGAGAGUGGAAUUCCUGGUGUAGCGGUGAAAUGCGCAGAUAUCAGGAGGAACACCGGUGGCGAAGGCGCUGCUCUGGGCCGGUACUGACGCUGAGGAGCGAAAGCGUGGGUAGCAAACAGG